rfam:Oryza glumipatula chromosome 1, whole genome shotgun sequence.
AUCCCAUGAUGAGGAUGGAUGAUGACGCAUUCCUGCAGCCUUUCCCAUGCUUCAAGAAUGGUUUCAUCCCUCAUACGCUGCAAACUGGAUAUUCUUCCACGAAGAGC